rnacentral:rRNA from 1 species
UACGUAGGGGGCUAGCGUUGUCCGGAAUCAUUGGGCGUAAAGCGCGUGUAGGCGGCCCGGUAAGUCCGCUGUGAAAGUCGGGGGCUCAACCCUCGGAUGCCGGUGGAUACUGUCGGGCUAGAGUGCGGAAGAGGCGAGUGGAGUUCCUGGUGUAGCGGUGAAAUGCGCAGAUAUCAGGAGGAACACCAAUUGCGAAGGCAGCUCGCUGGGACGUUACUGACGCUGAGACGCGAAAGCGUGGGGAGCAAACAGG